CCCUUAGAUGUCCUGGGCCGCACGCGCGCUACACUGAACGGAUCAGCGCGUUUUCCCUUCCCGAGAGGGACGGGUAACCUGCUGAACCCCGUUCGUGGUAGGGAUCGGGGCUUGCAAUUAUUCCCCGUGAACCAGGAAUGCCCAGUAAGUGCAAGUCAUAAGCUUGCGUUGAUUACGUCCCUGCCCUUUGUACACACCGCCCGUCGCUACUACCGAUUGAACGUUUUAGUGAGGUACUCGGACUGAGCCUCAGAAGAUUCACGUCUUUUGUGCUGCUCGGGAAGAUUCCCAAACCUGAGCGUUUAGAGGAAGUAAAANUCGUANCA
rnacentral:rRNA from 1 species